AGGAUGAACGCUGGCGGCGUGCUUAACACAUGCAAGUCGAACGGUGAAGGAGAGCUUGCUCUCCGGAUCAGUGGCGAACGGGUGAGUAACACGUGAGCAAUCUGCCCCUGACUCUGGGAUAAGCGUUGGAAACGACGUCUAAUACCGGAUACGAGCUGCGAAGGCAUCUUCAGCAGCUGGAAAGAACUUCGGUCAGGGAUGAGCUCGCGGCCUAUCAGCUAGUUGGUGAGGUAAUGGCUCACCAAGGCGUCGACGGGUACGCCGGCCUGAGAGGGUGACCGGCCACA
rnacentral:rRNA from 1 species